UACGGAGGGUGCUAGCGUUGUUCGGAAUUACUGGGCGUAAAGGGCGCGUAGGCGGCCUGUUAAGUCGAACGUGAAAUCCCCGGGCUCAACCCGGGAACUGCGUCCGAAACUGGCAGGCUCGAACUCGGGAGAGGGAUGCGGAAUUCCAGGUGUAGCGGUGAAAUGCGUAGAUAUCUGGAGGAACAUCGGUGGCGAAGGCGGCAUCCUGGACCGAUAUUGACGUUGAGGCGCGAAAGCCAGGGGAGCAAACGGG
rnacentral:rRNA from 1 species